CGCCCACCUCUCCAAAAAGGCCCCGCCCACCUCUCCAACCUUAUCUUUUCCCCCUUUCUUCCCUCAAAUCUCUCGUCUCGUCUCCCGUCGGUGCCGGCGGCUGCAAAUCGAAUAGACGGCCGGCGGAUCUCAAGGAGCUGAAAGGGAAACGGCAAGGCUGAUGUCAGGGGCUACAUCUCCCUCCUCUCUUUGAUUUUCUGCAAGAUCAGAGAUGGACAAAAAAACAAAGAUGUUAAUUUGUGCGGCAGCAGCACAAUGGUUUAUCAAUAUGAUAGCUUUGGUUGUCCAAUCUAGAAAAAGAAAAAGGAGAGAGGCAAUUACAUAUGCCCCAAUUGAUGAGAGAGAUAGGAUGAGAAGAGAGUACUUUGAUAACAAAGUAUGGAAGAAUGACACAACUUGUGUGAACAUGCUUAGGCUUCGGAGAGCUCCUUUCUUUCGGUUUUGUCAACUAUUUAGAGAUUGCAAUUUGCUAAAGGACACAAUCCAUAUGUCCAUUGAGCAGCAAGUAGCAAUGUUUUUGCACACUGUUGGUCACAAUGUUCGGAAUAGAGUAAUUGGUGGGAAUUUCAGUAGAUCUGGUGAAGUUGUUAGCCGCUAUUUUAAAAAAGUACUCCAUGCAAUUGGUGAGCUUCGAGAUGAACUUAUUAGGAAGCCUUCAUUGGGGACCCAAAAGAAAAUAGAAGGAAACCAUCGGUGGGAUCCAUACUUUAAGGAUUGUAUUGGAGCUAUUGAUGGUACACAUGUACGUGCCUCUGUUACACUUGAUAUGGAGGCUGCCUUUCGUGGUAGAAAGAAAUAUACUACUCAAAAUGUGAUGGCGGCUGUUGAUUUUGAUCUUCGAUUCACAUAUGUGUUGAACGGUUGGGAGGGGACAGCACAUGAUGUUGUAGUUUUACGCGAUGCUUUAGGACGUGAAAAUGGUCUACGUGUCCCACAAGGUAAUAGAUUAACCAUGUAGAUACAUGUUGUCAAUGGGAUUUUGAUAUAUAUGUAAGUAACCCAAAUGCUCCUCGUAUUUA